AGGUCAGGUGCUAGGGUGAGGUCAGGUGCUAGGGUGAGGUCAGGUGUUAGGGUGAGGUCGGGUGUUAGGGUGAGGUUACAGUGAGGUCAGGUGUUAGGGUGAGGUCAGGUGUUAGGGUGAGGUUACAGUGAGGUCAGGUGUUAGGGUGAGGUCAGGUGUUAGGGUGAGGUUACGGUGAGGUCAGGUGUUAGCGUAAGGUCAGGUUUAAGGGUGAGGUUACGGUGAGGUCAGGUGUUAGGGUGAGGUUACAGUGAGGUCAGGUGUUAGGGUGAGGUCAGGUUUAAGGGUGAAGUCAGGUUUAAGGGUGAGGUUACGGUGAGGUCAGGUUUAAGGGUCAGGUGUUAGGGUGAGGUCAGGUGUUAGGAUAAGGCGGUCUGGAGAAGCCAGGACUUGAUUGUGGAAUCAAUUUUUUCGGGUGUGUUAGACUCCUUUUGAAAGGACAGCUGUGAAAGAUAGAAUGAGGUUCUCAUUGAAACAGCAGUAGGACUCGAGGCAGAACAACAGGCCACAUCUAGACACCCACGAACUCCCUACGUAUUGACCACCCCAGGCCACAUCUAGACACCCACGAACUCCCUACGUAUUGACCACCCCAGGCCACAUCUAGACACCCCCGAACUCCCUACGUAUUGACCACCCCAGGCCACAUCUAGACACCCCCAAACUCCCUACGUAUUGACCACCCCAGGCCACAUCUAGACACCC
ensembl:lncRNA